rnacentral:lncRNA from 1 species
UUUUUUUUUUUUUUUUUUUUUUUUUUGUUAAAAGAGUUUUAAAAACAAAAACAUUUGUGCCCCCCUUCUUAUACAUUAAAGGGACACUUUUGAGGAUAUGAUUUUGAGAAUUUUGUGUUUUACGAAAUUUCUGUUCAGAUAUAGUAUCUUUUAACUUCUAGUUUUCAGUUCAUUCUUUAUUAUUAGACUUAUUUCUUGUUUUAUUUUCCUUGCACAUUUGUUUCCAAAAAGCACAGUCUCUACAGAGUCCCAAGGCACAAUCAGUAAGGACUUGGUCCAAGUCAGUAAGGACUUGGUCCUUUCACAACUUGUAUCCAUGUAACGGUACAUGUAACUGCAUUCUUGUACCUCUGUGAAAAGGAUUAGUUUUUAUAGUCUUUCUGGGUGGGGGGUUGCCUGAGUAACUAAACUAUUUGGCAGUAUUUGACAGUGUCCUCAACACAGUUAUCCGGGUAUUUCUGCCUUGCCAUCUCUGAAUCUGUUGGAAGAUGGGGGAACAGGGAGCAUGUUAACAUCACUGCAUUGAGUUUUUUUGUUAACAUGUAAAAAACAAAACAAAACUGCAAUAUUUUUAAAAUUUUACGUAUUUAGUCUUAUUUCAUUGUAAACCAUGUAUCUAAUUAUAUACAUUACUCUGUUCAGAUAUGAUGGUUACUACCUUCUUUUUUUUUUUUUUUUCAGUUUUCAUUUCACAACCAAGCAUCUCUAUAACUUCCCCCCAGCCAGCAAUAUUUAACACUCCCUUACUGUCUUUGAUUGAACUUCUUUUAUCAGGAUAUCAAGUAUUUGUCUUUUUAGUAUCACCAUAUUUCUCAUUUCUGUUAAUACUUGUAUGAAUCCCUCAAGUAUUGAAGGGAACUAGCUUUCAUUUUCAAGGAUUUCAGGUUUGAGAGUCCUAGUAUUCAGUGUCAGUUAAAUCUUUAAACUCUUCUGUCUGUUACAGUUCUACUUGUUUCUGUUGGCCACUUCUGUCAUUAGAGGUGGUUGUCAUUAGACCUUACUUAAGUUAGCUGUCUCUGACAGAUAAUUACCAUUAUUGGUUCCUGAAUAAAAUAUUAGCUGUUAAGACAGAAGGGAACCUCAGAACUUCUUAGUGUUUUGUUUUGUUUUCUAAACAGAAUAGGGAACUGUUUGGAUAUGAGUUUUUAACAUAAUUUUCUAUAAAUUCUUCUACAAAACAGCAUAGCUGAUUUGAGGAUGUAAUAAGGUUUUAAAUUAUUUAAAAAUGUGAGUGGGUAUGCUCUCAUUUGGUAAAACACUGCAUUUAAGAAUUCUUUAAAAAGUAAUUUCCUAAAAUAAAAAAAAAUGUCCAAAUUAGGUAUAUUGCUGAGCUCAAAUUAAUUUGAAGUGCCCUGGCUAAAGCUGAACUUUAAAUAUUUAAAUUUAGUUGUGAGAAGUGUGAAAUAUUCUUGACUGUUGAUAAUGGAAACCCAUGACAUACUUAGCCAAAGAAUAUAUUUGGUUCAGGUAAAGAUAUAAACCUAAUACUGAGUAUCCAUUCUUUUUUUUUUUUUUUUAAAGAGGAUGGAUGAAAUCAUGUUUCUGGCCUAUAGCUCUACUUUGGAAAGACUGGAAUAUUGUAUGACAGCUUCAGUGGUGAUUGGGAGGUACAGCUGGUACAUUAGACUCCCUGAGACUCACACCAAAAAACAUCUUCUUUCACCUCACCCACUGGGGUUUGCUUUCACUUACUUAUUCCAGGCCUUCCCACCAGUGGAGAGAUUUUUUUUUUUUUCUUUUCAGUCUAUAUUCUUAGGCCUCUUAGCUAUUAGGAGCUAUCAAAUGUGUACUAAUAGCUAUUUUCCUAGCCUGAAAUUAAAAAUACUGCAUCCGCACUAUGUACCUGAUGGGGAUCUGACCUCAAGUGUGUUCUGAGCCCAGGCUUCCUGGUGUGGUGUCUUUGUUACCACAUAAAAUUAUGACAAAUUGCAAAUACUGGUAUUGUGAUUUGGUUCUCUGUACAAAGAAAGAAGCUCCAUGCAGUGAGUUUGUGGUUUAAUGGUCACAAAAUGUUAGCACUGCUACCAUUCAGCACGUGUAAAAUUUUUUAAAUUUAUAAAUAUUAAAAUUUUAAACUUACACUGACUUUUCAGUUUUUUUUAAGAGACCCAGGGAUGAGUAUACUGUUUAAAUAUUUACCUCUAUUAACAUUACUAAUAAAGGUAUAAAAUUGCAUUUAAUUUUUCAAAAGAUGCUACAGUAUGAUUUUAGGAAAUAAAUCAAGGCUAUGUAUUGAGCCAGUUACAAGCUGAAUAUCACAUUGAUAAAAUUUUAUUUGUAUUUUUUAAAUCCAUAAAUGGGACUUAAAUGUGUCUUUUCACUAAAUAUUUUUAUUACAUUUUUGUUUUGACCAUGUGUGAUUUGUUCAUGGGUAUUUAGCUAGACUAUUUUAUGAAGCUUAUUGAAAUGGUGCUAGUUCAUUUACAAUCAUAGGACAUUUGACACUGGGGAUAUUACACAAUCAUAAAAUAAUUUUAGAUAAAAAAACAUGAAACAUAUCUGUAUAAAGAUUUGCAUUACCUCCUGGGAAAACACCUAAACCCUAAUGAGUAUUCAGAAUUCAGAAAGAAAAAGUUUUGUGUAUAUUCUGUAAUAUUGAGCAUAUUUAUUUUUUAUUUCACCUUACAGUCUUAGAAACAUUUUCAGAGUUAUUAGUUAAAUCACUGGAUUUGGGUAUAUUUGUAGUAAAUAUUUUUAGUAGUUUGGGUCAUUCUUUUUUGUCCUUUCAGGAAAAGUGGAAAAUUACUAUCCUGCUCUGUGUUAGACUUACAAACUUUUACCCUUCACCCAAUCUAAAAUCUUGUAAACAUGUGCAGUGAAAGUUAAUUUUUUUAAGAAAAGGAAAUGCUUGAAAUAUAUUUAUUUUAAAC